rnacentral:rRNA from 1 species
GCACAAGCAGCGGAGCGUGUGGUUUAAUUCGUUGCUACACGAAGAACCUUACCUGGGCUUGACAUAUAGGUUGUAGGGAACUGAAAAGGGACCGACCCUUCGGGGAGCCUAUACAGGUGUUGCAUGGCUGUCGUCAGCUCGUGUCGUGAGAUGUUCGGUUAAGUCCGCUAACGAGCGCAACCCUCGUCGUAUGUUAUAUGUGUCAUACGAGACUGCCGGUAAAAGCCGGAGGAAGGUGAGGAUGAUGUCAAGUCAGCAUGACCUUUAUAUCCAGGGCUACACACACGCUACAAUGGUCUGUACAAUGGGUAGCCAAGCCGCGAGGCGGAGCCAAUCCUGAAAGCAGGCCUCAGUUCAGAUUGCAGUCUGCAACUCGACUGCAUGAAGCCGGAGUUGCUAGUAACCGCAGGUCAGCAAUACUGCGGUGAAUACGUUCCCGGGUCUU